AGUGCGGGGCCGGCAGCAGGGGGCGGGCCCAGCCCGCGUCACCCGGCAGCAACCAAGCGACUACCAGGUUGCCUGCUGUCUGAGACGCUUCUGUGCUUCUGGAUUUUGAUGGACAUUAUAGAUCACCCUCCACUCAUCACCAUGAAAAGUUUGGUGGCAAAUGGCUCACAGACAGAUAGGAGGCACCAGCUAAUGAAGACAAAUCCGCAGAUCAAUAGAGAUGUGGUUGCCGGUGUGGAAACCCUGUGGUCCCCUGACCUCAAAUGAGGAGCUCUGGAUAGGAGGAGCAGGAUGGAUGUUAAGAACUGCUCCCUGAGAGAGACUGGGGUACAGUCUGACAGUGUUCAGGGAGAGAGGUCAGAGGGGGCUUCCUGGAAGAGGAGGGAUUUACAAGUAAAAACCAUUUAAGCAGGGACAAAAGGUAGGCCCGGGGUAUGCCAGGCAUUCCAAACAGUCUAGGGAGCGCCCAAGCAGGCAAUGGGCUCUUUGGAGGAUCAGGAAGCUCCCUGGAUGAGGGAGAGUGGGUGAACUGGUCUGGGUGUGCUCUGUAUUGUUAGGCCACACAGGAUAGCUCUGGUUUCUGGCAGAGGGAGUCUGUCUGUCUGUCUGUCCUAGCUUUCCUUGGCUGGCAGGCGCCAUGAGCCUUUGUUUCCUUCUGACUAGAACUUGUGCCUCUUUCAUGGAUGUUUUGCUCUGAUAAUGGGUCUCCUUGAGGCUGGUAAGAUGACUCAGUGGAUGAAAGGUGCUUGCCACUAACUUGAUGGUCUGAGAAGAGGAGAACCCCUCCUGAGAGCUGUCCUCUGACCUCUGCCUGACCCCACC